GGCUGGAUAACUCAGUUGGUAGAGCAUGAGAUUCUUAAUCCCAGGAUCAUGGGUUCAAGCUCCACGUUGGGUG